rnacentral:rRNA from 1 species
CGUUCAGUGUCUAUUUUGUUGGUUUCUAGGACCAUCGUAAUGAUUAAUAGGGACGGACGGGGGUAUCAGUAUUCGGUUGUCAGAGGUGAAAUUCUUGGAUUUACUGAAGACUAACUACUGCGAAAGCAUGUACCGAGCACGUUUUCAUUAAUCAAGAACGAAAGUUAGGGGAUCGAAGAUGAUCAGAUACCGUCGUAGUCUUAACCAUAAACUAUGCCGACUAGGGAUCGGGUGUUGUUCUUUUAUUGACGCACUCGGCACCUUACGAGAAAUCAAAGUCUUUGGGUUCGGGGGGGAGUAUGGUCGCAAGGCUGAAACUUAAAGGAAUUGACGGAAGGGCACCACCAGGAGUGGAGCCUGCGGCUUAAUUUGACUCAACACGGGGAAACUCACCAGGUCCAGACACAAUAUGGAUCGACAGAUUGAGAGCUCUC